CUUGAACGCUGGCGGCAAGCCUAACACAUGCAAGUCGAACGAGUGGCGGACGGGUGAGUAAUGUCUGGGAAACUGCCUGAUGGAGGGGGAUAACUACUGGAAACGGUAGCUAAUACCGCAUACCAUCGGAUGUGCCCAGAUGGGAUUAGCUAGUAGGUGGGGUAAAGGCUCACCUAGGCGACGCUCCAUCGCUGGGCCGAGAGGAUGACCAGCAACACUGGAACUGAGACACGGUCCAGACUCCUACGGGAGGCAGCAGUGGGGAAUAUUGCACAAUGGGCGCAAGCCUGAUGCAGCCAUGCCGCGUGUAUGAAGAAGGCCUUCGGGUUGUAAAGUACUUUCAGCGGGGAGGCGUUACCCGCAGAAGAAGCACCGGCUAACUCCGUGCCAGCAGCCGCGGUAAUUC
rnacentral:rRNA from 1 species